rnacentral:rRNA from 1 species
GAUGAACGCUGGCGGCGUGCCUAAUACAUGCAAGUCGAGCGAACAGACGAGGAGCUUGCUCCUCUGACGUUAGCGGCGGACGGGUGAGUAACACGUGGAUAACCUACCUAUAAGACUGGGAUAACUUCGGGAAACCGGAGCUAAUACCGGAUAAUAUAUUGAACCGCGUGGUUCAAUAGUGAAAGACGGUUCUGCUGUCACUUAUAGAUGGAUCCGCGCCGCAUUAGCUAGUUGGUAAGGUAACGGCUUACCAAGGCAACGAUGCGUAGCCGACCUGAGAGGGUGAUCGGCCACACUGGAACUGAGACACGGUCCAGACUCCUACGGGAGGCAGCAGUAGGGAAUCUUCCGCAAUGGGCGAAAGCCUGACGGAGCAACGCCGCGUGAGUGAUGAAGGUCUUCGGAUCGUAAAACUCUGUUAUUAGGGAAGAACAAAUGUGUAAGUAACUAUGCACGUCUUGACGGUACCUAAUCAGAAAGCCACGGCUAACUACGUG